GUUUCAAUUACGAAGCAACGCGAAGAACCUUACCAGGUCUUGACAUCCUCUGACAACCCUAGAGAUAGGGCUUUCCCUUCGGGGACAGAGUGACAGGUGGUGCAUGGUUGUCGUCAGCUCGUGUCGUGAGAUGUUGGGUUAAGUCCCGCAACGAGCGCAACCCUUGAUCUUAGUUGCCAGCAUUCAGUUGGGCACUCUAAGGUGACUGCCGGUGACAAACCGGAGGAAGGUGGGGAUGACGUCAAAUCAUCAUGCCCCUUAUGACCUGGGCUACACACGUGCUACAAUGGACAGAACAAAGGGCUGCGAGACCGCAGGUUUAGCCAAUCCCACAAAUCUGUUCUCAGUUCGGAUCGCAGUCUGCAACUCGACUGCGUGAAGCUGGAAUCGCUAGUAAUCGCGGAUCAGCAUGCCGCGGUGAAUACGUUCCCGGGCCUUGUACACACCGCCCCCGUCAAG
rnacentral:rRNA from 1 species